GUAGGUGAACCUGCGGAAGGAUCAUUAACACGUAUCCACGUAUCAACCAACUGUGAACUUGUUUUCAACCAUCUCCCCGUACUGUUACAUGAAUUGGGUUUAGUCACAUGAGAUAAUGAAUAGGGAAUUCCUUCGGGAGUUCACGUCUUAUGAGAUCACCUGGGCUUGCUCAGACAAUUGUAGUAACAGGUGGCGGGUCAAACCUAUUUCUUCUAUCAACCUCUCCUUUUCAUGAGCGCGAUAGUGGGAAGCAAACAACACAAACCUAUUUCACCCCCUUUUUGCUAGUUGACUUUUAUAUGUUGUCUCUUUUGCUACUUUACUGUGGCGACUGAUUCACACGUUUAUUAUUUGAACGUUAAAAUUACAACUCUUAGCAAUGGAUAUCUUGGUUCUC
rnacentral:misc_RNA from 1 species